rnacentral:rRNA from 1 species
CCUACGGGGUGCUGCAGUGGGGGAUAUUGGACAAUGGGGGGAACCCUGAUCCAGCGACGCCGCGUGAGUGAAGAAGUAUUUCGGUAUGUAAAGCUCUGUCAGCAGGGAAGAAAGAAAUGACGGUACCUGACCAAGAAGCCCCGGCUAACUACGUGCCAGCAGCCGCGGUAAUACGUAGGGGGCAAGCGUUAUCCGGAAUUACUGGGUGUAAAGGGAGCGUAGACGGUUAAGUAAGUCUGGAGUGAAAGGCCGGGGCCCAACCCCGGGACUGCUCUGGAAACUAUUUAACUUGAGUGCAGGGGAGGUAAGCGGAAUUCCUAGUGUAGCGGUGAAAUGCGUAGAUAUUAGGAGGAACACCAGUGGCGAAGGCGGCUUACUGGACUGUAACUGACGUUGAGGCUCGAAAGCGUGGGGAGCAAACAGGAUUAGAUACCCGGGUAGUC